UUUUUUACAACUUUUUAAAUUCAGUUAUCUUCGGGUUCAUAGCAUACUGUAGCUAUGUUUACAUAACAUCUAAUACACUCUGGCGGGAUUCAAGUAGAUGUAACUUCUGCUCUGGUUCUGACCAGUUUUGCUCCUUGUGGUGCCUUCUGCCGUCACUAGAAUAAUACAUGUCUGCAAUGAAACAAAGGAAUCGUGGAGGGAAGUUGCUGAAAUUCUCAUAUUUUGAUAAUCAGUCCAUGUUCCAUGAUUUUGAUUACAUUUAUCUCUACUACACUUCAAAAGGAUAGAAAUUUUUAGUCACGAUCCCGUCGCUUGUGAAAAGUCACUUUAAGCUAAUGCUAAACAUGUGGUUUUAGGAAAAGAAGGGAAGUACCUUGACAAAACCAAUCGAGUCAAAUACUGAACUGCCUGUUCGCAGUUCAGUAUUUGCAGAUUCACAGAUUCAAGGAUUUAUUUGUUUUUUGUUUUUUUUUUUCCUGUGGAAAGUAACUUGACAUUAUUCAUGAAAAAUGGGCCUUUUCUGCAUAUUUUAUCAGAAUCGGAAUUCCUUCGAUUGUCACUGAACUGAUGACAAUGACGCAUUGUAAAGAAAAUAACGCUUGGAGCACUGGAACACCUACCAGUGCUACUCGACACGCCAUUGGCUGGCAUUUGCAGAGCACCCAAUCCUGAAGCGCCAGACAACGAAGACCAUAGAUUAGUUUAUACAGUAGUGCUAAGAUGGUUCCUACUGUUAAUAUUAAGGCAUAUUUAGAGGGGUCUCAAGUACUUGCAGAUUUUAGUCAUUCACUAUUGUCCCUAACCUCCAUGAAUACUGGGUGGGCUUUAUAAUUAACAUGCAAUCCAUCGUUCAUUCGACUCGCUGAGAAGAGGAUGAGCCUCCUGCUCGAGGGUGGGGAAAGGCACCGAAGGAACAUGUGGAUGGAGACGUUGACGUGAUCAACAGAUUCACCCGCCGUUGCCUCAGUUUUCUGGUUCUGCAUACAGAACUUUGUGGUUGUGAGCUCCUUCGCUGCAUUGCCAAAAAAAAGACAGUCACAAAACUGUUUGACUCGAUUGGUUUUGUCAAGGAAUAAAACGUCCGUUUUCUCUUUAAAAAUCCGUGAGCUCCGCUAAUACGUACAUUAAGGCAUCUUCCACUUUUAGCAGUUGCACCUUUCAGUUUUAGAGAGGCAGAUUCAAACCGGACUGUGAAAAAAUUGAUAUGUGAGACAUUUAAUAUUUGUAGGUUUUCAGACUGUAAAAAUAUGAUGACAUUUGCCCUUUAAGUAAGCAGCGUCUCUGCUGGUGUGUGUUGUGAAAAUUGUG